AUUCUAGGGAGUGCAUGGCUGAUCCUCAGCUAAUGUUUUGUAAUAUCUGGUUCAGUUCAGGAAUAGGCCAUCUAUUGUGUUUACAAAAAACUGGUUCCCAUAUCUAUUAGAUAGAAUAACGUCGAGUCAUUAUGCUCUUUUGUUCGGAGAUAUUCAUGUGUUACAAAGAGAGCUACAGCCCAUCUCACCAAUGAGACAUCAAAAUAUUAUCAUCCUAAUUGAAAAUUGAAAUGUUUUUAUGAAGGAGGAAUUAUUAGGAAUCUUUGGUUAGUUACUUAAAGGUGGACAGGAGAUAAAUUUUGCACAUACCGCCCGUCAAGCAAAAAGCAGAGAUGUGCAUUCAAACAGUUCCACAAUUAAAUUGUGAGAUGAGAUAGCUAAUUUGUGUUAAGUCGAAACAUGGUUGCUCAUCAGGAAUGAUGAGCUGGAC
rnacentral:rRNA from 11 species